rnacentral:snRNA from 1 species
CCCUUCUCCCAACAAACGGGUUUGUGCCUUCGGUCCUGCCCAUUGAUCCUCGUGUUCGAUGUGGUCCAGUUGUACCGUUGGCAGUUCGGCGAUUAAUGGAAGCGUUUUGUUUUAAAUAACACCCUAGCGUAAAUCCGCGUCGACAGAUCCGAGAUUGAUAACUUCCCCUUGUUUCCUCAUCUUGAGUUUGUUUUCGGACUGAGCCCGGUGGGGAGGGAGGGAGAUAGUUGGGCGCCAUAUUCCACCGCGUUGCAUAGAACGUCGUUCUUUGACGUUUGGGCAAAACCAUGGCUGCAUACAUUU